CGCCUCUGUCCGGAGUAGAUAGAGCUGGUGGAAAGACUUGUGCAGCAAGGUUACAUUGAUCGAUGUCCAAAGGACGGACGAAGAUCGGGUCGCGGAGAAGUUGUCCAUCGACCUCGCGGAGAUUAAGGAAGAAGUAGGGUUUGAAUUCUCGAGAAACUAGAGCCGAAUUCUUGCACGAACAACUGGUUUCUCGAAAGGUUCUAUUUUGGUGCCCUGGACCAUUCGUUCAAUGUCGGGAAAUGGUAAAGGAACAUAUUUGAGGUUUUCUAUGCGGGAACUUUAUGCUCUAAUGCAUUUAUCUGUUAAUUCACCACAAAUUGAACAAGGAACAUGAAUGAUCGUCUGACCUGCUAAUUUCGCUAUAUUUUAGCAGACACAGUCUUGGUCAAUAGCAGCUGAUUCUGAGAGGUGGUUGCUGAUCUUGAUCACUGCUAAUACCAGGAUGAUAUAGGACAACAUUGGACAAAACAAGUUGCUACAGUCAAUGAAGUUCUUCCUCAAAUCUGGCAGCUUUUAAAGAGUUAACAAAGGCUAUCAGUGAGCACAAGGCAAUUACAUUUAUGUUUUCUUGAACUCUUAGGAGAGUGGAAAUGGUAGGGAUGGUAUGAACCAUGUAAGCAGCAGUUGCUGCAGGGUUUCGCAGUCACCCCAGGCACACCCCUUUCUGUGGAAAUUUAAAUGGAAAAAAUGCUUGCAUCUGCUACUAUCUCCUUGAACAAAUGGGAUGAUGAUGCAGAAGGGAUUGACUUGCUAUAUUGUUGUCCAUACAAAACCAAAAUCUAAAGUAGGAUAGCUGCAGAUGCAGAGGAUGACUUGAAAGAAACUAGUGAUGGACAUGCAAUAUUCUCUUCAAGUCAGGACAGGAGUCAAAUCAGAAAUAUGAGCAGAAUCAUCAUCCUUUUAGAAAGAAGCCCCCAGAAGCUGAUUCCAGAAAAAGUUGUUUUCAGGUAUGGAUGUUUUCCCUGAGCCUGUAUGUCCCGAAUCCCCCUUCCUAACUUUCCUUCCUCUUAUCCCUGGCUGAUGGGUACCUUCAAAAGAUGCAAGCUCAUGCAGGAUGAGGGAAUAAGACCUAUCCAUUUGUCACCAUCACUUGUUAUCUAGUCUGAUGCACAAUCCGACAUUGCAUUCCACCAAGCUUCAUUUGUUGUUAUCUGUUGAUACAGUUCUUGCUAGAGCUGGCAUUGCAUAUUCUCAACUGUGGUAUGCAAGUGAAAUUCAGGUAAAUCUUUUCUCUCUCCCAACUCAGUGGAGAGGACAUGGAGAAUGAGUUUGUUCAAGACCAAUAAACUCGUGACCUGCCUUUGUCUCAUAAAUUUAUUUUUUCAAAACAGGCCUAUAAUUUUCCUUUAAUAUAUUCUGUUAGAUAACUUUUUUCUCUCCAAUCAUUUGAAAGUAAUAAAAGGUAUCUAGAGUAAAAAAUAGAAGAUUACUGUUCAUAGUCCCUUUUUACCAUUGCCAAUCCCCUGAAAUAUUAUUUUGCUAUUUACAGUCCCAAUAUUACCGAUUUCACCCCUUUUUUUCUUUUUCUUUUACUUCCCCAGUGCCCAACCCCACUUGACAUCGUUCUGUCACGAAUGGUCAUCGCGCACUCGCAACAAUUUCGUUCAA